GAGGAGUCUUUGCCCAGAUACAGAUGAUUAGUCACUGCUGUUCUGCUUUCUGCAGAACUUGCUUUCUCCUGACCUGAAAUUGAGGAAACUCCCACCAGAGCACAGAACUGUGCCUUCCUAAAAUGGUGCCUUUGGGGUUCACCAGCUGUGCAGUCAGCUGUGUCCCUGUGGCUCAUCUCAGCAUUGGAUUUCCUCCAGGCUUCUCAAUAGGACAGACAGACUGAACGUGGAGCAGAGCUGCUGCUGCCAGAGGAGGCAGAGUGUGAUUAUUUUUCAUCUUGAUACUGCUUUCAGCAGAAGACUGGAAAGGCAGCACUGUUCUCCAUGGGGUACAGAGGAGAUGGAGACCAAAGGCCACUAUAUGCUUCAGGUUGAUUCUCUGGCUGAAAAUGAAAGCCAUUUCCCAUUUCCCUGCUUUGCAUUACUGCUGCAUCCUCAGCUUUAAGAGGAUUCAUUCCCUUUCAUAUUUAGAUUAUUCAUAUUUUCUGUUUUAUUCAUCCUUAGAAGACCAGAAGGCCUCCCUCCAC
rnacentral:lncRNA from 1 species